ensembl:rRNA 5S_rRNA 5S ribosomal RNA
CUCUGUGGGCCAUGGCACCCUGAACACGCCCUAUCUCGUCUGAUCUUGGAAGCUAAACAGCGUCGGCCCUGUUAGCACUUGGACAGGAGACCGAGUGGGAAUAGUGCAUGCUGUAGGCU